rnacentral:misc_RNA from 1 species
GCGCCUCUCCACGCAGCCGGAGCUAGCUCGCUGAGUCGCGGCCUCCCUACCGCCGGGUCGCCGCCUCUCCCUACUGCCGGAGCCAGCCUGUCGAGUCGCGACCUCCCGACCGCCGGUUUGCCGCAGGAGCUUGCCCGCUGGGUCGCCGCCUCUCCGCGCCGCCGGAGCUCGCCAACCGAAUCGCCACCGGUGCUCGUUGGGAAGACUAUUGCUAAGGUGAGACUGACAUACUGGUCCCACCGUCAGUUUGGAGAGUAUAUUGGAG